GACACUGAACUACUGCUGACAGAGAACUGUGUCUGAAAAUCUCUCCCAGUUAUGAUAUCAUGCCAUGAAAAUAAACUGCCAUAGAGUCACUGCUUUAUCAGUGCACAACUCUGAAUAAACCAUGUGCCUUGGACAAGGCAUAAUCAACGUUUUCGUACAGUGUAAUCACAACCCCAGAGUGGAUCUUCACAGCUGCACAGUCACUCCAGUCACAUUCAACACUACAGCAGCAAGUGUUCGAAACAAACAUUUCCUCACUCCACACAAUGCCUUCAUUUUACACCAAGACAAGGAUAUAUUUCAAGAUUAAAAUUGCAGCUCUAAUUUAAGAAAACACGGCGAGGAUUGUGUGUAAGGAGCUUUCUUCUGAUGUGAUGCAGAGGGACAGGUGAGGGUUUCAUCUCACUUUCACAAAGUCAAGUCGCUGGCUCAUCUCACAGUCUCUGUCUCUUUCCCUGUGUCCUGGGAAUAUACCCUUUCUUGACCCCCUUUCUUCAUCCUGAACACUCACACAGUUUCUU